rnacentral:rRNA from 1 species
ACACAUGCAAGUCGAACGCCCCGCAUGGGGAGUGGCAGACGGGUGAGUAACGCGUGGGAACAUACCCUUUCCUGCGGAAUAGCUCCGGGAAACUGGAAUUAAUACCGCAUACGCCCUACGGGGGAAAGAUUUAUCGGGGAAGGAUUGGCCCGCGUUGGAUUAGCUAGUUGGUGGGGUAAAGGCCUACCAAGGCGACGAUCCAUAGCUGGUCUGAGAGGAUGAUCAGCCACAUUGGGACUGAGACACGGCCCAAACUCCUACGGGAGGCAGCAGUGGGGAAUAUUGGACAAUGGGCGCAAGCCUGAUCCAGCCAUGCCGCGUGAGUGAUGAAGGCCUUAGGGUUGUAAAGCUCUUUCACCGGAGAAGAUAAUGACGGUAUCCGGAGAAGAAGCCCCGGCUAACUUCGUGCCAGCAGCCGCGGUAAUACGAAGGGGGCUAGCGUUGUUCGGAAUUACUGGGCGUAAAGCGCACGUAGGCGGAUAUUUAAGUCAGGGGUGAAAUCCCAGAGCUCAACUCUGGAACUGCCUUUGAUACUGGGUAUCUUGAGUAUGGAAGAGGUAAGUGGAAUUCCGAGUGUAGAGGUGAAAUUCGUAGAUAUUCGGAGGAACACCAGUGGCGAAGGCGGCUUACUGGUCCAUUACUGACGCUGAGGUGCGAAAGCGUGGGGAGCAAA